UACGAAGGGGGCUAGCGUUGUUCGGAAUUACUGGGCGUAAAGCGCACGUAGGCGGAUACUUAAGUCAGGGGUGAAAUCCCGGGGCUCAACCCCGGAACUGCCUUUGAUACUGGGUAUCUCGAGUCCGGAAGAGGUGAGUGGAAUUCCGAGUGUAGAGGUGAAAUUCGUAGAUAUUCGGAGGAACACCCGUGGCGAAGGCGGCUCUCUGGGACGGUACUGACGCUGAGACGCGAAAGCGUGGGGAGCGAACAGG
rnacentral:rRNA from 1 species